rnacentral:rRNA from 1 species
GGAGUUAGCCGGUGCUUCUUCUGUGAGUGAUGUCCUUCCUGCCGGCUAUUAACCCGCAGGCCUUCUUCCUCACUGAAAGUGCUUUACAACCCGAAGGCCUUCUUCACACACGCGGCAUGGCUGGAUCAGGGUUGCCCCCAUUGUCCAAUAUUCCCCACUGCUGCCUCCCGUAGGAGUCUGGGCCGUGUCUCAGUCCCAGUGUGGCUGAUCAUCCUCUCAGACCAGCUACGGAUCGUCGCCUUGGUGAGCCGUUACCUCACCAACCAGCUAAUCCGACAUAGGCUCAUCCGAUAGCGCGAGGCCCGAAGGUCCCCCGCUUUCCCCCGUAGGGCGUAUGCGGUAUUAGCCUGGGUUUCCCCAGGUUAUCCCCCACUACCGGGCAGAUUCCUAUGCAUUACUCACCCGUCCGCCGCUCGCCACCAGGGAGCAAGCUCCCCGUGCUGCCGCUAGACUUGCAUGUGUUAGGCCUGCCGCCAGCGUUCAAUCUGAGCCAGAAUCGAACCCUGA